UUUAAGUAGCCUCUAUCUCUUACUUUCUUAUAUGCUAGAGGUGUGUUUAAGUUGAUUGCAUUGGUGAGAUUAUUUUAUUGUAGUUUCGACUUGUGGUGUGGCAUGUCAUGAUGGCCUCAAAUCAUCAGAGAAGCUUCAAGGGGAUAUGAAGUAAGAUUUUGAAAAGAUCUUGCACAAGGGCUCAGGCCUCCUUGAGAAAGCGAAAGAAGAAUUCGGAAGUCACUUCGACGACUACUUCCAAAUUUUAGGGGUUGUCUGCAUCUCAUUUUGCUCUGAGAAAGAAACUUAUCUCUCGGGUUCACUUGACCAUACUGUUCUCUUAUGGGAUCAACGGGCUGAAAAAUCACAGGUUUGACCAUAUAAUAUAUAUCCCUACUACUAUAUAAGCACGAUGUGUAAUGGUUCUAGAAUGUCAUCGAAAUCUGCAUUAUUCCCCAUAUAGUGCUGGGAACUACAAUUCUCACGCUCGUGUACCCGCCUGCAUUUACAUGGUUCACUACCAGAUUCCCCUUCCAAGGCUCUAUGCAGCUGUUCAGCUAUUUCUCCCUUCGAUGUCGGUGUUUGUCACUGCUCUGUGUGUUGGAUCACCAUUGAGAAUAAAUAUCAAGUUGGUUAUCAUCUUGCUGGUACUUGGUUUCUUAAGCCAGAUGAUGUAAAGGCACUACAAAGGACAAUAUCUUUUGAGACAGG